rnacentral:tRNA from 1 species
GCCCCGGUGGCUCAGUCAGUUAAGCAUCGGACUUCAGCUCAGGUCAUGUUCUCACUGUUCGUGGGUUCGAGCCCCGCCUUGGGCU